rnacentral:rRNA from 1 species
AUUCCAGCUCCAAUAGCGUAUAUUAAAGUUGUUGCAGUUAAAAAGCUCGUAGUUGGAUUUGGGACUGGAGUCGUCGGGUCGGCCGCGAGGUCUGUUACUUGGCGGCUCUGUCAUUACAAUUCCCAGAGACCUGUCGUGUGCUUAACUGUACGCGGCAAGGGAUUUGGGACGUUUACUUUGAAAAAAUUAGAGUGUUCAAAGCAGGCUUUUACAGCCCGAAUACAUGAGCAUGGAAUAAUGGAAUAGGACCGCGGUUCUAUUUUGUUGGUUUCUACGACCGCAGUAAUGAUUAAGAGGGACAAUUGGGGGCAUCCGUAUUUCGUUGUCAGAGGUGAAAUUCUUGGAUUUACGAAAGACGAACAACUGCGAAAGCAUUUGCCAAGAGUGUUUUCAUCG